UCCGGCUUAUCACCGGCAGUCCCACUAGAGUGCCCAACUUAAUGAUGGCAACUAAUGGCAAGGGUUGCGCUCGUUGCGGGACUUAACCCAACAUCUCACGACACGAGCUGACGACAGCCAUGCACCACCUGUACACCCCCAAAAGAAGCCCCAUCUCUGGUUCUACCACUUGCAUGUCAAGGCCAGGUAAGGUUCUUCGCGUUGCAUCGAAUUAAGCCACAUACUCCACCGCUUGUGCGGGUCCCCGUCAAUUCCUUUGAGUUUUAGCCUUGCGGCCGUACUCCCCAGGCGGAGUGCUUAAUGCGUUAGCUGCGGCACGGAGAGGGUUGAAGACCUCCCCACACCUAGCACUCAACGUUUACGGCUGGGACUAC
rnacentral:misc_RNA from 1 species